rnacentral:rRNA from 1 species
CCUACGGGUGGCAGCAGUGGGGAAUAUUGGACAAUGGGGGGAACCCUGAUCCAGCCAUGCCGCGUGUGUGAAGAAGGCCCUCGGGUUGUAAAGCACUUUCAGUGAGGAAGAACGCCUGGUGGUUAAUACCCAUCAGGAAAGACAUCACUCACAGAAGAAGCACCGGCUAACUCCGUGCCAGCAGCCGCGGUAAUACGGAGGGUGCGAGCGUUAAUCGGAAUUACUGGGCGUAAAGCGCGCGUAGGUGGCUUGAUAAGCCGGUUGUGAAAGCCCCGGGGUCAACCUGGGAACGGCAUCCGGAACUGUCAAGCUAGAGUGCAGGAGAGGAAGGUAGAAUUCCCGGUGUAGCGGUGAAAUGCGUAGAGAUCGGGAGGAAUACCAGUGGCGAAGGCGGCCUUCUGGACUGACACUGACACUGAGGUGCGAAAGCGUGGGUAGCAAACAGGAUUAGAUACCCCGGUAUUC